rnacentral:rRNA from 1 species
CUGAUUUGGACUGGGGCCCUUCCCGGGUACCCACCCUAGUUAAACUCCGAAUACCAUUGCGAUUAUCUCAGGAGUCAGUCCACGAGGGAGAAGCUUCGUGGUCGAGAGGGAAACAACCCAGACCGCCUGCUAAGGUCCCAAAGUCUUGCUAAGUCACUAAGGAUGUUAAGAUACUGUGACAGCCAGGAUGUUGGCUUAGAAGCAGCCAUCAUUUAAAAAGUGCGUAAUAGCUUACUGGUCGAGUGUUUUAGCACCGAUAAUGAACGGGAGUAAGCAAGACACCGAAGCAGCGGAUUCAGCUCACGCUGAGUGGUAGGAGAGCGUUCCAGCACAGAUACAAGCCGUACCGAAAGGAGCGGUGUCGGGUGCUGGAAGUGAUUAUGCCGGAAUGAGUAACGAUAAAACAGGUGAGAAUCCUGUUCGCCGCAAACCUAAGGUUUCCUGGGGAAGGUAAUUCCGCCCAGGGUUAGCCGGUACCUUAGUUGAGGCCGAAAGGCGUAGACGAUGGAGAGCAGGUUAAUAUUCCUGCGCCGGAUAUGUGGACCGAUGGGGGGACGUUGUGUAGAUUGUGAUCGGGCUGACAGAAAUGCCCGUAGGG